CAGACCAAAAUUGUAACAUUCUCAGUAUUUGAAGGCAGAAGAACAUCAAGGAAAACUGUUGGAAAGGGACCUGUCAAAUACCAAACACAAAAUUCAAGGUAUCAGGAUAAGAAAAAGUUUUAUUUCUAUUUGUUACAAUUUCAAAGCAAAUAGCUCCACAGGGUUAAGAAAAGCAGCAACUUUUAAAUGGGAGGAGAAAACCCCAUAUCUGAUGGAGUGAAAUGUGUCAAAUCCAGUCCAGUUUCUGCCUUUUAAAAUACCAAAGGUGAAAACCAGGAAAUCUGUGGAUAACGUGGUCUAGAAACCCUUUUCAACAUCUACACUAUCAGGUGGAUUUUUGCUGGGAUAAACAACCUCAAGGGCUAGGACACUGGCACAGAAAAGCAGAUAAUAUCACUGGCUGUGAAGAAAAAGUGUGGCCAUAUGGCAGGCCC